UGGGCUGUUCGGGAGGCCGGUUUCGGCCCGUUUAGGCCCGACGAAACCGGCCGAAACCCGUCGGGCUGGGGUGGAAGGAAAACGCGAGCACCCCCUCGCGUUUUUGCGUGGCGGCGAGAGGGCGACGUGGGCGCGAGGGAGGAAGACGACGCCGGUCGCCGCUCCAAGACCACGCCGCCGCCGAAGCUCCCUCCACGCUCCAAGACCACGCCGUCGACGCUUCCCCCUCUCAGGAAAAAGGGUCCUGCCGCCGCCGACCUGGACCUCCUGCCGCCGCCCCCUCCUCUCCGUUGAAGCUGGAGUCAUUCGGUCUCUAUUCACGGAUUCUUGCGGGAAUUGACGAGCCGCCGCCCUCCUGGGACCCUGUGAGCACGCCGGACUUCGGUAUGUCCACAACCUACUUAUUGCUUUUCGUUAAUGCUUUAUGGAUGUUUGUUAGAGCUUUA